ACCAAACUACCAUUGAAUCCUCCACCUCAACCUGAAAGCCCCAGAAACCACAGGGCAUAAAUGGAAAUCCAGAUCACCAUACCCACCAAUGAACUCCUUUCAACUUCACCUCCUUCUCCAACCACCUUUUGGGGUCGAGGUCCUGAAGACUGCAGUGUUUGUGUGUGUGGUCGAAACCCAGUGAAGAGGAACUGCGACUCUCUCUCCCAUGGUUUUUCUUUUUUCCCUUUUCGUUUCCAACAAUUCUUUUUUCCCCUCCCACCCUUUAUCUUGAGCUUCUCCGACUGGCCCCCCUUUCCACUUUUCUUCCUCUCUUCUCUUGUUUACUGCAACCCCUGAAUCCUGUUCCUGCUCUGCAAACCCCCAAGACACUCACACCAACACAACUGUUUCCUGGAAGGAAAAAAAUGAACACACAAAGCAAUAUUUGGCCUCUUUGGUUGCCGACAUGUCUCCUGCUGUGUCCAUGUAA